AACGUAGGACGCAAGCGUUAUCCGGAGUUACUGGGCGUAAAGGGCAGGCAGGCGGGCUGAUAAGUCGGAUGUGAAAUCUCCCUGGCUUAACCGGGAGGGUGCAUUUGAGACUGUCAGCCUGGAGGGCAGCAGAGGAGCGUGGAAUUCCGGGUGGAGUGGUGAAAUGCGUAGAGAUCCGGAGGAACACCGGUGGCGAAGGCGGGUCUCUGGGCCGAUACUGACGCUGAGGAGCGAAAGCGUGGGGAGCGAACAGG
rnacentral:rRNA from 1 species